rnacentral:rRNA from 1 species
AUUGAACGCUGGCGGCAGGCCUAACACAUGCAAGUCGAACGGUAACAGGAAGCAGCUUGCUGCUUCGCUGACGAGUGACGGACGGGUGAGUAAUGUCUGGGAAGCUGCCUGAUGGAGGGGGAUAACUACUGGAAACGGUAGCUAAUACCGCAUAAUGUCGCAAGACCAAAGAGGGGGACCUUCGGGCCUCUUGCCAUCGGAUGUGCCCAGAUGGGAUUAGCUUGUUGGUGGGUAACGGCUCACCAAGGCGACGAUCCCUAGCUGGUCUGAGAGGAUGACCAGCCACACUGGAACUGAGACACGGUCCAGACUCCUACGGAGGCAGCAGUGGGGAAUAUUGCACAAUGGGCGCAAGCCUGAUGCAGCCAUGCCGCGUGUAUGAGAAGGCCUCGGUUGUAAGUAACGUUUCUAGCGGGGUAGGAAGGGAGGUAAAGGUUAAGUAACCUUUA